UUUCCGUAGGUGAACCUGCGGAAGGAUCAUUAAAGUUAUAGUCCCCCGGCCCCUCCGGGCUGGGGUCUUCUAUACCACCCUUUGUUUAUUACACCUUUGUUGCUUUGGCAGGCCUGCCCUCGGGCUGCUGGCUCCUGCCGGCUCGUGCCUGCCAGAGGACCUAAACUCUGUUUGUAUAUGAAGUCUGAGUACUAUAUAAUAGUUAAAACUUUCAACAACGGAUCUCUUGGUUCUG
rnacentral:misc_RNA from 1 species